GCCAGACGUGGUGGCCCAUGCCUGUAGUCCCAGCUACUCGGGAGGCUGAGGUGGGAGGAUCGCUUGAGUCCAGGAGUUCUGGGGUGCAGUGCGCUAUGCCGAUUGGGUGUCCGCACUAAGUUCGGCAUCAAUAUGGUGACCUCCCGGGCGCGGGGGACCACCAGGUUGCCAAAGGAAGGGUGAACCGGCCCAGGUCAGAAACAGAGCAGGUCAAAACAUGGAAAAGAAAAUGUGCACUUGGAUGAAAAGCAGAAAGUGUCCCUUUUUGUGCCACAUAAUAAAACACACCC
rnacentral:SRP_RNA from 1 species